AGUGUUGGGGACAUCUCCGCUCGCUUUAUAACCAAAUGACACCCCUUCGACUUCUGAACACGUAGGGGCCUAAAGUGUGCGUUUAUUCUCCAGACCCUCUUUACAGAUCGUACUUUAAACAGCGUGAUCUGUGAAUAAACAAAGCCAGUAAACAAUAGAGUGGAGGCUAUGCCCACAUAUAGGAAGAGUACACACACAAACCAAAUUGCACAAGUGUAAACUUUGAAUAGGACGCCGCAGCUCUGUAAAUUUACACAGACAUUAAAUUUGGUUCUAUUCAUUUUAGACAUAUAAUGCUAAGCUGAUUUUUUUAUAGCACACUGAUCGAUAUCUCUGUAAAAUAAUCAUUUUUUUAACUAGCGGGGCAGUGAAAUCUUUGCUUUGUGCUAAAGUCAACAGUGACAGAGUUUGAGCUCAAAUAAAUGCCGUGAUGUCUGGAGCCCUUUGCAGAAGGCAGAAGGCGAGCUCCCACAAUGGGCUUCUGUGUGGCUUGCCAACAACCGGCACCGGCUAUUUUACGCAGGGCUCUGCUGACUGAAGUGAUCCCCACGGCCCUGAGCGGAGGGGGAGGAGGGCGAGGGAGCCUCCGAGGGGAGAGGGAGCGCUGCGACGCGCGCCCACGUGCACGCGCGCGCACUCAAACACUAACACAAUGUCCCUCUCAGUCCUGGGUUGUGACCGGCCCAUGGCAUUGGCCAGAUGCACAGGGCCUCCAUUUGAAGGACACCUUUCGGUCUCCUACAAGCGACACGUCAGCGUCUUCCCGUCGGCGGAUUUGCCCACGUCUCGGUCCGACCUGUCUGCCAUAUUUAAUAUCGAAGCCCCAGUCAGCGCCGAGCUGAAUGGGAACAAAAGCGAGGCCUCCGUUAAUGAUUAACUGUUCUAAAAGCCCCGGCUUUUGUAUUCCCAUGGUGCCCGGGCUAUCUGGCCACCAUGUGACAUGCUCGCAGCGUUUUUCGAGCAGAUUGGGGGAAAGCUAGUGAGCAAACACAGGUGCUUUGGAGCAGCGUUGCCGACGCUGUCAGGGACAACCACAAACAAGAGCAGCAAUGCCUGGCUAAAUGAAUCCCCACCCCUCCCAGCACCGUCACCACCUUCAGCCCCCCCUUUACCAGCUAACUUGUUUGCUAGCUCCCUAUAGGUUUUUCCCUUGCAAAGCCUUCUUUCUGGAGAACACCCCCCAUCUCACACACACACACACACACACACACACACACACACACACACACACACACACACACACACACACACACACACACACACACACACACACACACACACACACACACACACACACACACACACACACGCCUCAGCCUCACUCUACAACUUCUCACACCCUCCAAGGAAACAAACAAAUAAAAGUGAGGACGGCCGACCACUUCUUUGAGGUGGUGGCAUUUGCUGUGGUCAUGACUAGUGGGUGAGCAAACAAAUUAAUGGUGUUCGAGUUUUCACUUUCCAAACCAAACCAAGAGACUUUUAGUUCAAGUGGGGCAAUUCCACUGACCCUAGUGUCACACGCUGCAUAAGGGGUUGCACGCUCUUCAACUUGAAACGCUAAGGGGAGGCUGUAAGAAAUGAAGCAGGGCUUGAAUAUUAAUGUGGUGGCACAUAUAUGAUGCAUAAAUCUCUGUAAGUAAUAAACACUGUUUAUUUCUGCCAGCUGUGUACUGUGGCUGCAAACUUUAAACAUAGGUGUUGGGAGCACUUAACCUUUUCAUCCAGACUGAUUGUUCAGAGUGACUAGGGGUGCUGUGUCGCUCAACUUUGAUAAGACAAUCAGAUGAUAGGACGGCGUUAUCUUAACACGGCUUUCCGGCUGCGAAACAAAUGAACAGCGCGCGAUAACGGGGAACAAAAGCUCAGCUCCUAUUGGCCGGCGCCUCCGAAGAAAGAAUCAUUUAUCAGGGUGGAAAAUUCACAAUAGGUGCAGUUUAUUUCAAUUUCAAUUUUCCACUUAGCCCAAGUCACAGGAAGAGCUUUUUCUUUUUUUUUUUUUUGAAUUGCUCAAAUAUUUAUAUUGGCAUUUUGGUUUCACAGUCUGCAAUUACCUGAACCUAUAAAGCGGUUAUCGCUAGAAAGAAGAUAAUUUUUUUUUUUAAAACAAACAAUUAAAAAUAAACAGGAGAGGAAAUGAAGUUGUAAAUGUGAGAGGGACGUAAAAAAAAAAAAAGAAGAAA